rnacentral:rRNA from 1 species
UACGUAGGGUGCGAGCGUUAAUCGGAAUUACUGGGCGUAAAGCGUGCGCAGGCGGUUUUGUAAGUCAGAUGUGAAAUCCCCGAGCUCAACUUGGGAAUUGCAAUGGAUACUGGCAGGCUGGAGUAUGGUAGAAGAAGGUGGAAUUCCCGGUGUAGCAGUGAAAUGCGUAGAGAUCGGGAGGAACACCAGUGGCGAAGGCGGCCUUCUGGACCAAUACUGACGCUCAUGCACGAAAGCGUGGGGAGCAAACAGG